rnacentral:misc_RNA from 1 species
AACCAUAGAAACCUGCGGAGUACCUGCGGAAGGAUCAUUACCGAGUUUACAACUCCCAAACCCCUGUGAACAUACCACUUGUUGCCUCGGCGGAUCAGCCCGCUCCCGGUAAAACGGGACGGCCCGCCAGAGGACCCCUAAACUCUGUUUCUAUAUGUAACUUCUGAGUAAAACCAUAAAUAAAUCAAAACUUUUAGCAAUGGAUCU